rnacentral:rRNA from 1 species
GGGGAAUUUUGCGCAAUGGGCGAAAGCCUGACGCAGCAACGCCGCGUGGAGGAUGAAGGUGCUCUGCAUUGUAAACUCCUGUCGGCCGGGAAGAAUCGGCGGGGUGCUAAUCAGCCCCGUCUUGACUGUACCGGCAAAGGAAGCCCCGGCUAACUCCGUGCCAGCAGCCGCGGUAAUACGGAGGGGGCAAGCGUUACUCGGAAUUAUUGGGCGUAAAGGGCGCGUAGGCGGUCUCGUGCGUCAGGGGUGAAAUUCCCGGGCUUAACCCGGGACGUGCCUCUGAUACGGCGAGACUUGAGUCCGGGAGAGGGGAGCAGAAUUCCCAGUGUAGCGGUGAAAUGCGUAGAUAUUGGGAGGAAUACCAGUGGCGAAGGCGGCUCCCUGGACCGGUACUGACGCUGAGGCGCGAAAGCGUGGGUAGCAAAC